UGGUUGACAACAGGAAGCGGCCAUUCACAUUGAUUUGUGGAGCUGGACUAGUUCCGACUUCUGGAGCAUGACCGACGUUCUUUUGAGGUUGAUAGACUAAACAAGGCAGCAGCCUAUCAGCUAAUUCGAGGACGACAUGUUGAAGCUACUGUUCGGUGUGUUCAAGGAGGACGCAAUCAGCUCUGUAAUUUUUACGGGACAUCAUCACCAUUCUUGUGUGAAGUGGGCUCUUUCUCUGCACCACUGGCAUCUUUUUCACAUAGAGAGCAGUCAAGGAGUUCUAUCCCAGACAGCUCCAUUUCUGCAUCCAUUAGUGUUAAAUCAUGACAGGUAGUAAAGACAAACGUAAAAUACAUUGGGAAGAACAGAGACAUACGUCCCAUUCUACUUCACUGUUAUAGUGAGAAAGAAUGCUUUGUUUUUAACAACCAUAGACAAGUAAACCCAUAUACUAAUAGGAACAAGAAGUUGCUUGAUCCCAAAGUAAAGAUACAAUUCUACAAGAAGCAGUUGAUGAGAAGGCAUUAUAAUGUUUCUGAGUAAAAAAAUAAAAAAAAUAACAUCAAUGAAUGCUUUCAGAAGUUUCUUGAGUUAUUCUCAAUCUUACUAGAGUGAAUGUCUCAUUUCUGUUUUUUUGUUUCUUCCACCAACCCACACCAAUCAUUUAGUUGGUUGUUUUCCUAGUCAACAUGAUAUGUAUAGCAAGGAAAUUAAUAUUGUUAUGUGUACUAUGUCACCUCAUUGUAUAAAUAAAUAGUAAUCAUUAAUCUAGAUUA